rnacentral:rRNA from 1 species
AGAGUUUGAUCCUGGCUCAGAUUGAACGCUGGCGGAAUGCUUUACACAUGCAAGUCGAACGAUGAACCCUAGCUUGCUAGGGGGAUUAGUGGCGAACGGGUGAGUAAUAUAUCGGAACGUGCCUUGUAAUGGGGGAUAACUAGUCGAAAGAUUAGCUAAUACCGCAUACGCCCUGAGGGGGAAAGUAGGGGAUCUUCGGACCUUACGUUAUAAGAGCGGCCGAUAUCUGAUUAGCUAGUUGGGUGGGGGUAAAUGGCCUACCAAGGGCUUCCAAUCAAUAGCUGGGUCUGAGAGGAACGACCCAGCCCCCACUGGGAACUGAAAACCGGGUCCCAAAUCCCUACCGGGAGGCAGCAGUGGGGGAAAUUUUGGACAAUGGGCGCCAAGCCUGGUCCCGCCCUUCCCCCGGGAAGGGAAAAAAGGCUUUCGGUUUUAAAAGUUCUUUUCCCAGGGAAAAAAAAUUUAUUUUUUUAAAAAAAAGGGGGGGUUAAGGGACCUUUUUUAAAAAAGGCCCGGGUAAAUUCUUGCCCGCAGCCCCGGGAAUAACCUAAGGGGGGGGACGUUUAUUCGAAAUUUUUGGGGGGUAAACCCGGGGCCCGCGGUUUUGGAAGUCACAAAUGAAAAUCCCCCACCUCCACUUUUGGAAACGGGGUUUGAAACCUCCCCAACUAAAAAUAGUUUCUAAGGGGGGGGAAUUUCCCCCUGUUUAAUUGAAUGCCGUAAAAUGUGUGAGAAAACCAAGGGGAGAGCGCCCCCCCCGGGAAAAAUUUGAUCCUCACCGCCCACAAAGAGGGGGGGGACACCGAAUUAAUAACGGUGUCUAGGUUCCCGCCCCCACGCCAUAAAAACUGUUUGUUUUUUAUUGUGGGGGGGGGAGAAAAACUCCCGUGUAUUAACCCCAGUUCACCCGUAAAAUUUAGCCCCCCCCGGGGGGAAACACCGCCCCCCAAAAAUUAAAAACUCAAAGGGAAUUUGGGGGGGGGCCCCCCCCAAAGGGGGGGUUAUUUGGGGGUUUAAUUUGGGACCAAACCGGAAAAAAACCUUUCCCCGGCCUUUGCCAUUCCCCUUAAAGGAAGGGAAGGAGUUCCUUUGGGGUCCCUUAAAGGAAAAAAGGGGACCCCGGGUCCCCCCAUGGUUUUUUAUCAAGUUGGUUUCGGGGAGAUUUUGGGUUUAAUUCCCCCCAACGAAGCGCAACCCUUUCCCCUUAAUUUCCCAUUCAUUUUAUUGGGGCACUUUAAAUGGGACGCCGGGGGCAAAACCCGGGAGGAAGGUUGGGGGAGGACUUCAAGUUCCUCAAGGGCCCUUUAUGGCCAGGGGCUUCCCCACGUAAUUACAAUGGUCGGUACAGAGAGUUGCCAACCCCGCGAGGGGGGAGCUAAUCUCAGAAAGCCGAUCGUAGUCCGGAUUGUUCUCUGCAACUCGAGAGCAUGAAGUCGGAAUCGCUAGUAAUCGCGGAUCAGCAUGUCGCGGUGAAUACGUUCCCGGGCCUUGUACACACCGCCCGUCACACCAUGGGAGUGGGUUUUACCAGAAGUAGGUAGUCUAACCGCAAGGGGGACGCUUACCACGGUAGUAUUCAUGACUGGGGUGAAGUCGUAACAAGGUAACC